AGAGUCCUUUGGUUCGUCUCUGCAUCGAGGCGGCUACGGAAGCAAAGACGCCAUUGACGCUUGGAAGAUGCAGCGUCGAACACUCGAACGCAUGCCUUCUCAGCUCAUCGACAUUCUUCUGCACCGUCUCCUCCAUCGGCGGAUCCUCUAUCCUUCACUUCUCGACUGUAGUUAGCGGUGAAGAUUGCGUGCUAAAUGAAGGACCUAUUGAAAUUGAGCAAUGGAAUCAUGUGAUUGUAUGGUAAGAUCUUGGAUUUUUAACUCAAAUUGAAAUAAAUUUAUGAGUCCUUCAUCUACAUCACAUCAGUUAGGUAGCUUUGGAUUGAGUUUCCUAUGCAAUAUGGAAUUUAUUUCUCCAAACAAAAAAAAUUAUAGGAUUAGUUGAAUUGCCUUUCAAUUACCUAUAUUUGUACAUGUGAUGUAUUAAAGUGAACUAUGAAUAAAUUGUCCACUAAUAAAUUGAUUCAAUUUUUAAUGGGA